CCACCUGAUCCCAUCUCGAACUCAGAAGUGAAACAGGUCAUCGCCGAUGGUAGUGUGGGGUCUCCCCAUGUGAGAGUAGGACAUUACUAGGC
rnacentral:rRNA from 2 species